rnacentral:rRNA from 1 species
AGAGUUUGAUCCUGGCUCAGAUUGAACGCUGGCGGCAUGCUUUACACAUGCAAGUCGAACGGCAGCACGGGGGCAACCCUGGUGGCGAGUGGCGAACGGGCGAGUAAUAUAUCGGAACAUAUCCGGAAGUGGGGGAUAACGUACCGAAAGGUACGCUAAUACCGCAUAUGCCCUGAGGGGGAAAGGGGGGGAUCGCAAGACCUCUCGCUUUCGGAGUGGCCGAUAUCGGAUUAGCUAGUUGGUGAGGUAAAGGCUCACCAAGGCGACGAUCCGUAGCUGGUCUGAGAGGACGACCAGCCACACUGGAACUGAGACACGGUCCAGACUCCUACGGGAGGCAGCAGUGGGGAAUUUUGGACAAUGGGCGAAAGCCUGAUCCAGCCAUGCCGCGUGAGUGAAGAAGG